rnacentral:snoRNA from 1 species
CGGUCUUUUGCCAUGCUCGGUCAGGUUUGCUCUACUACCUGAUCUUGAGCCGGAUGCCCUUGUCAUUCAUGAUGAGUGCGCAUAAGACAAGAUCAACUACAGUGAUCUUUGAGUACGGAACCGAGUUGGCCUUUUGGCGUCGAGGUCUUCGUAAUUUAUCACUUGUUACAUCA